UACGUUUUCUCGACUUGAGCCAAUCUGAAACAUCCCCGACAUAAAUACUUGUGAGAAACAGUAAGGAAAAUACAAAGACACGUGGCAUUCUUACCUCACAUGCCAGCAUAUCAGGGAUUCUGCGCGCGCUCUCUUCCAUUGCUUCCCCUUCACCACUCAACCAGCUCCGCCGAGCGACUCAAUAAUGGACCCUCCGAUUCGUGACUCGGAGUCCAACCCUAAACCCCUCUGUGAAAACAAAGACGUCGUCUUCAUCGACACCAACCUCGACACUCACUUGGCCGUCCUCGUCUCCGAUCACGAUACCGUCUCCGACCUCAAAGAGCGAAUUUCGUCAGGACACCAAUCAUGCUUUCCCAAACUUGGGCAGAUACAUAUUCAUGCAAUGAAGAUAAUGCCUUGACUGGUUUGAUCAAUGAUGAGAAAGAAGAACAUGAUUUUGUGAAUGCAUUCGAUAAAGCUGUUAAGGAUGAUAACGUCGUUUGCGAAGAUGAAAUGUCAAAAUCUGUGUCUAGUGCAAAGGAAAAACAGAUGAGUACAAGGAAAGAAGAUGAUACUGUGGAAUAUGAUGCUUCUGUUUUUAGGCCAGGUAAUGAUACUGUUCAAAGGGAGAUUGACGUUAUGGCAGACCCUUCAUUAAAUGCAACUAAAGAAGUAAUCAUUGAAAGUGAAGUUCUAAAGGAGCAUCAGCACAAUGAAUUCAAUGAUAAUAACACGACAAUUGGCAUUGGUACUGAGUCAAUGAAAGAGGCUACUGAACCUUUACGUGCUACAAAUAAGAAGAAGAAAAGUAAGAGAUAUUUGAUUCAUGAUGCUGACAUUAUAGAGAAGAAAGGGAAGAAGAGAUCGUCAAAUUCUCAUGAGACACGUUUGACUUCAUUCAAGAAAGAUGCAGAAGCAUAUCCUUCCAACAUUGGAGGGGGUGUUGAAGUGGAAAUUUAUGAAGAUGGUAUAGUCUCUAAAGAUAACAGCAUGAGCAAACCUACGCCUGAAAAAAUGGAGAUUGGAACUGAUGCAUCCUUAGAAGGCAUUCCAUCUAAAGUAAAGAAGUCAGAAAAACACAACCGUUCUGAUGUUGAAACAAAAUUACAACCUUCGGGUGUAAAGGAGCCAAAGGAACCCAAGCAGUUGAAUGAAGAUAAUUUGAAUAUUGUUCUUGACCAGUGCAAUGAAAGUGAGGUUGGUCUGAUUGAUAGAGCUGAAGGAAGAAGAGAAGUAUUACAAGAUGAUCCUAAGCCAAUGCAGUUGGAAGAAUGCACACCAUCUGAACAGAAUAAUAACACUGAAGCAAAUAUCAAGGAAUCAAAUGUGACUCCGAAAGCUCUUUAUAUGAAUGAGAUGGGUGAACCUGUAAAAUCUGAGAAAAAGAAGAGAAGGAAGAGAAAAGAUAUGGAUUUGGACGAAAGAACAACUACAAAAGAAGAGUGCACACCAUCUGAACAGAAUAAUACAGAUGCAAAUGUCAGUGAAUUAAAUGUGACUUCAAAAGUUGCUGUUUCAAAAGUUGUUGUGCUUGGACUCAGUGUAGUAGAAAAAUCAGAGAAGAAGAAAAGAAAGACAAGAAAAAGAUAAGGAUUCAGAUGUAGGAACAACGAGACUACAAUAUUUUGAGGUAUUUAUAAUUUCUUAUUAAAAUAAGUGUCCUUGAUGAUUCUUGUGCCAAUUUCACUCACUUAGAAAUAGUGUUUUCCUGAAAUUUGGAACUAAUUAUCUUGUUGAAUAAAAUUUGUUCAGAUUCACUUGGUGGAAAAAGACUGGAAAGUGGUGAAAAAAAUGACUUUAAAGGAAGGUAAGGUAGUGAAUUGUAUUUCUCUGGCUAUAAGCAGCAACCUUUCUUUCUCGUUAUUUUACUUUUUGUGUGGAUUCUUGAAUCUUGACACUCUAGUAUUAAGUUUGACCGACUUUAAGCCGAACUUAUAGUUGACAGAAGAUUAUGGAUUUCUGGUUAUCAUAUUAACAUAGAGCUACACUUUUGAGUAUAAUGCUGAAAUCUAAAGGUAUUUGAUUGAUUAAUCAAAUGAUGCUGAAUAAUCAUGAAACAAAGAAUAAUAAGGGGCAUUUUUGUAAAUAGCUGGCAAGAUCAUGCUGCUUAAAAUGGUUAGUUUGAAAUUAUGAACUUCCACUCUUUCACAUUAUUUACAUCGUUGCAAACCAUAGGUGUUUCACCUUAAUUACCUAGGGUAAGACCCGCAGUACGCGUGGGUUAAAUGAUCAAAUAUAAAAAUUAGUUGGGACAUACUCAUUGAUACUAAUAGUUGUUAUUUUUACUUUGAAAAUUUUUUUAUGCAUAAAAAUCGAUAGUAUAGGGUAAAAUACUGUUCUAUUCCCUACUUUCAAUAGCCUAAAUAAUCGUUUUUUUUUUAGUUUAUAUCAGUAGAUUCCACUUAUAUGUGAAAAGGCUAUUAUGUAUGUGUAUUUAAAUAAAACUAGUAACACUAUGUUAUUGUUAUGCAUAAAAAAAUUAAAUAAUUAAUACAAAUAAUUUCAUUGUAAUCACACAGACAACUAUAACUAUGUGACAUUCAGUUAUAUAUUUAGAUCUGAAUCUAACUCGGUAAAUGAUAAAUGUGCUAUUAAGUAAUCAAAUAACAAAGAUAAAAGUUGCAUUGAUGUGUGUCAUUUAAUA